rnacentral:misc_RNA from 1 species
AAGUCGUAACAAGGUCUCCGUUGGUGAACCAGCGGAGGGAUCAUUACUGAGUGUAAAAACUCCCAAACCACUGUGAACAUACCACUGUUGCUUCGGCGGCCUCGUCCCGCGGCGCUCCCCCCUAGCGGGGCGUGACCCGGACCCAGGCGACCGCCGGAGGCACCAAACUCUUGUCUUUAUAGUGACUUUCUGAGUGGCAUAAGCAAAAUAAAUCAAAACUUUCAGCAACGGAUCUCUUGGUUCUG